rnacentral:lncRNA from 1 species
UGGGGUCGAGGUGCUGGUAUGGGGUCCCACACCCCAUAAUGGGGUCGAGGUGCCUUUUUGGGGUCCCGCACCCCCAUAGGUGCCAUGAAUGGGGUGGGGGCUCCGUUUUGGGGUCCAGCACCCCAUAGGUGCCAUGAAUGGGGUCGAGGUGCUGUUAUGGGUUCCCACACCCCAUAAUGGGGUCGAGGUGCCUUUUUGGGGUCUCGCAUCCCAUAGGUGCCAUGAAUGGGGUCGAGGUGCUGUUAUGGGGUCCUGCACCCCCAUAGGUGCCAUGAAUGGGGUCCAGGUGCCGUUAUGGGGUCCCACACCCCAUAAUGGGGUCGAGGUGCUGUUAUGGGGUCCCACACCUCAUAAUGGGGUCGAGGUGCUGUUAUGGGGUCCCGCACCCCAUAGAUGCCAUGAAUGGGGUCCAGGUGCUGUUUUGGGGUCCCACACCCCAUAAUGGGGUCGAGGUGCUGUUAUGGGGUCCCGCACCCCCAUAGGUUCCAUGAAUGGGGUCGAGGUGCUGUUAUGGGUCCCACACCCCAUAAUGGGGUGGAGGUGCUGUUAUGGGGUCCCGCACCCCAUAGGUGCCAUGAAUGGGGUGGGGGCUCCGUUUUGGGGUCCAGCACCCCAUAGGUGCCAUGAAUGGGGUCGAUGUGCCGUUAUGGGGUCCAGCACCCCCAUAGGUUCCAUGAAUGGGGUUGAGGUGCCGUUAUGGGUUCCCACACCCCAUAAUGGGGUUGAGGUGCUGUUAUGGGGUCCAGCACCCCAUAGGUGCCAUGAAUGGGGUGUGGGCUCCGUUUUGGGGUCCCGCACCCCAUAGGUGCCAUGAAUGGGGUCGAGGUGCUGUUAUGGGGUCCAGCACCCCCAUAGGUGCCAUGAAUGGGGUCGAGGUGCCGUUAUGGGGUCCUGCACCCCCAUAGAUGCCAUGAAUGGGGUGGAGGUGCUGUUAUGGGGUCCCGCACCCCAUAAUGGGGUCGAGGUGCCUUUUUGGGGUCCCGCACCCCCAUAGGUGCCAUGAAUGGGGUCAAGGUGCUGUUAUGGG